rnacentral:lncRNA from 1 species
UAAAACAAAAUAGUGUUGAAGUGUUGGGGCGGCAAAAAUUUUUGGGGGGUGGUAUGGAGAGAGAAUGGGCGAUGUUUCUCAGGGCUGUUUCAAGCGGGAUUAGGGGCGGCGUGGGAACCUAGAGUGGGAGAGAUUAAGCUGAAGGGAGGUCUUGUGGUAAGGGGUGAUAUUGUGGGGAUGUUAGAAGAAACAUUUGUCGUAUAGAAUGAUGAUUGGUGAUGGCCUGGAUACGGUUUUGGAUGAAUUGAGAAACUAAAUGGAAUAAGAGAAAGAGAAAAACAGGUAUAAAAGGUCUAAGAAUUGGGACGACUCAGGAUAUCUGAUUAGAGAGUGCCUAAGGAGAUUCAGCAUAGUCCUGCCAGCAAAGAUUAUUUAUUUACUUCAAGAGUUUAGAGUAGCAGUUUGGGGAUAGCACCAGGAGAUAUCAGCUGUAAUGGCUUGGAGAAACAGUGUAAACCGGCAGUGUAAACAAGAGCAGGGCAUGUGUGAGUAGUUGAGAAUGGUGAAUAGGAGUAUGACUAGACAGAAGAUAGUAGGGAUGACAAGUUUUUUUUGGGGGUACAGUCUAAGUUGGUCUGGUGUCUGGAAUGAGACUGGGGCCUAAUAAAAAGGAGUGUCUAUACAGCAGCUCAAAUGGGCUGUACCUUGUAGCAUUCUGAGGACAGGUCUGACUUCUGAGAAGGGAAAGUGGUAAAAGUAUUGUCCAGUCCUUUUUAAGUUGGUGGCUGAGCUUGGUGAGGUGUGUUUUUAAUAGACCAUUAGUCUGUCACUGAAUACUAAGAACCUGAGAAAAUGCUUGGCUGAUUUGACUAAUAAAGGCUGGUCUGUUAUCAGACUGUAUAGAGGUGGGAAGGCUAAACUGAGGAAUUAUGUCUGACAGAAGGGAAUAAAUGACUGCGGUGGCCUUCUCAGACCGUGUAGGAAAGGCCUCUACCUAUCUAGUGAAAGUGUCUACCUAGACUAAGAGGUAUUUUAGUUUUUGUUACUCAGGGCAUGUUGAAUAAAGCUAAUUUGCCAGUCCUGGGUGGGGGCAAAUCCUCGAGCUUGAUGUGUAGGGAAGGGAGGGGGCCUGAAUAAUCCUUGAGGAGUAGUAGAAUAGCAGAUAGAACACUGAGAAGUUAUUUCCUUGAGGAUAGAUUUCCACAAUGGAAAGGAAAUGAGAGGUUCUAAGAGGUGGGCUAGUGGCUUAUACUAUAGCAUAGCCUGCCUUUGCUGGUGUGUGGUUAUUAGGCCUGGUGGAACUGCCAUUGAUAAAUCAAGUGUGAUCAGGGUGAGGAACAGGAAAGAAGGAAAUAUGGGGAAAUGGGGUGAAUAUCAGGCGGAUCAGAGAGAUACAGUCAUGAAGGUCAGGUGUGGUAUCUGGAAUAAUGUGGGAGGCUGGAUUGAAGUCCGGGCCAGGAACAAUGGUAAUUGUGGGACUUAAGGAAGAGUGAGUACAGCUGAAGGAGCCGGGGAGCAGAAAAGUAUAUGCGUCAGGUAUGAGGAAGAAAAUAGAUUUUGGAAGUUAUGAAAAAUGUAGAGUGAGUUGAACAUAGUUUGUGAUUUUGAGGGCCUCUAAAAGUAUUAAAGCAGUGGCAGCCGCUGCACGCAGACAUGAGGGCUAGGCUAAAACAGUAAGGUCAAGUUGUUUGGACAGAAAGGCUACAGGGUGCGGUCCUGGCUCUUGUGUAAGAAUUCUGACUGCACUAACCAUGCCUAGGAAGGAAAGGAGUUGUUGUUUUGUAAGGGAUUGAGGUUUGGGAGAUUAAUCGGACAGGAUCAGCAGGGCGAGCAUGUGUGUUUUUAAGAGAAUUAUGCCGAGAUAUGUAACAGAUGAGAAUGAAAUUUGGGCUUGACUGAAGUAAUGGGGUCUGUCUGUGAAGCCUUGCGGCAGUACAGCCCAGGUAAUUUGCUGAGCCUGAUGGGUGUCAGGGUCAGUCCAAGUGAAAGCGAAGAGAGGCUGGGAUUAAGGGUGCAAAGGAAUAGUAAAGAAAGCACGUUUGAGCUGCAGAACAGAAUAAUGGAUUGUGGAGGGAGGUAUUGAGGAUAGGAGAGUAUAUGGGUUUGGCACCAUGGGGUGGAUAGGCAAAACAAUUUGGUUGAUAAGGCAUAGAUCCUGAACUAACUUGUAUGGCUUGUCUGGUUUUAGGACAGGUAAAAUGGGGGAAUUGUAAGGAGAGUUUAUAGGCUUUAAAAGGCCAUGCUGUAGCAGGCGAGUGAUAACAGGCUUUAAUCCUUUCAAAGCAUGCUGUGGGAUGGGAUAUUGGCAUUGAGCGGGGUAAGGGUGAUUAGGUUUUAAUGAGAUGGUAAGGGGUGCAUGAUCGGUCGCCAAGGAGGGAGUAGAGAUAUCUUAUACUUAUGGAUUAAGGUGGGGGAAUACAAGAGGAGGAUGCAAAGGAGGCUUUGGAUUGGGAAGAAGGGCAGCAAUGAGAUGCAGCUGUAAUCCAGGAAUAGUCAGGGAAGCAGAUAAUUUAGUUAAAGUAUCUCGGCCUAAUAAGGGAACUGGGCAGGUGGGGAUAACUAAAAAGGAGUGCUUAAAAGAGUACUGUCUAAGUUGGCUCCACAGUUGGGGAGUUUUAAGAGGUUUAGAAGCCUGGCCGUCAAUACCCACAACAGUUAUGGAAGCAAGGGAAACAGGCCCUUGACAAGAAGGUAAUGUGGAGUGGGUAGCCUCCAUAUUGAUUAAGAAGGGGAAGGACUUACCUUCCACUGUGAGAGUUACCUGAAGCUCGGCGUCCGUGAUGGUCUACGGUGUUUCCGAGGCAAUUAGGCAGCAUCAGUCUUCAGCCGCUAAGCCAAGAAGAUCUGGGAAGGAGUCAGAGAGCCUUGGGCCAGAGUUCCAGAAGCUAUGGGAGUGGCUGCCAGGUUUCAGAAUCACUGGACCAUUAGACCACAUCAGCACUGGACCCAGCUAAAGGGCAGAGAUUCAGAGAUCCCCAACUGUGACUAGUUGUGCAAGAAGCAUGCAGAAUGAUGAGAAACCUACAGCUCAGAAAAGAAACAAAUCGUCUAUAUGGAAGUCCAGUCUUGCUGUGGAAAGGCUCAGAAAAACAAGACCCUUAGCAUAUCUCAGGGAACUGAAAGGCUGUGGGGAAACCAACAGCUUGCUGCAACCACAGCCACAAGUCAGUGUUCCAGCCAUAUACCCUCGGUUCUUUCCAAGACAUCGCUGAAUCAAAAUCCAAAGCAGGUAUUCCCAAGGUGGAAUGACUGUGGCUCUGUGCCAUCUCGAAAUCUACUGGUCUCUAAGCACAAACGAACAUUCUCUUAAACUAAUGAAAUGAGUGGCAGGCAGCGUGUGCAGAGCACCAGCAAAGGCUCAGAGGGAUGCCCACAGAGUUCCACCGCAACCGUGCACAGAGGAGGAGGAGAAUGCUCCCUACAGGUGAAAACUAGGCUAAUACACAAUGAUUGAAGACUAAAGGAUGAGAAGAGCCACCAGUGGGGCGCAUUCACAGAGAAACGGUCACAUGAUGAGGCAGCAAGAAGGCAAAAAUUGCGAGCCAACAAGAGAGGCCUCAGAAGAAUCCAACCCUGGUGCCGCCUUCAUUUUAAACUUCCAACAACCCCAGAACUGUGGAAAAAAAUUCUAUUUUUUGUCUGUGGUAUUUUGUUAUGGCAACCCUAGCAAACUAAUACACUGAGCAAACUAAUACAUUAAACAGAAUAUUAAAACGAACAAAACAUACUGUUAUUUUUAGUAUGUGCUAUAGUCUGUAUCUAUUUAUUAUCAUUAAGCUUUUAAAAAUUCUAUGCACACAACAAUUUUGUAGUUAUAGUGUUUUGGGGAAUAAAAGGGAAAAGAUGUUUGAG